rnacentral:lncRNA from 1 species
UGAGAGUGUCCGUCGUAGCAUGAAGAGUCUUCAAAACUUGUCGAGUCGCUGAAGGAGAGAACGAAGAGAUGGCACAUCAGAGGUAGACACCGCAUCACUUGAAGAUACAAGAUAAGUAUCAAGAGAAGAUGAGUUGUCAAAAGAAGAUGGCACAUCAAGAGAAUAAAGCAUUGCGCGGAAAAUCAUAGUCCACGACAACCGUCGGCGAAAGAAGCUCGGCGGAUAAGGCACGAUGGACGUAGAUCGACAUUGCAAAAGAAGUCCAGGAAAUCCUAUAGAAAACAACAAGGGCAAAUAGGCCACAAAAGUUGCAUAGAAAGGAUCAGGACCAAAGAAAGGCUGAUGGACUAAGGUAUGGUGGACUCGCAUGGCAUGAGAAAACACAAAAUAUCAACGGAUUUGGUGGACGCAGCGGAAUUAUAGAAACUAAAAGAACUAGAAACAACGGGGACAUGAGCACCAGGUAGUAGCAGGGGACAUCACCACGUAUGAGCAUCACGUAGUAGCAGGGAACAUCACCACAUAGUAUAGGUGGAAGCAGCUAGCAGCAGCACGUAGUAGCAGGGAACAUCACCACAUAGUAU